rnacentral:rRNA from 1 species
CUACGGGUGGCUGCAGUGGGGAAUAUUGCACAAUGGGGGAAACCCUGAUGCAGCGACGCCGCGUGAAGGAUGAAGGUCUUCGGAUCGUAAACUUCUAUCAGCAGGGAAGAAACAAAUGACGGUACCUGACUAAGAAGCUCCGGCUAACUACGUGCCAGCAGCCGCGGUAAUACGUAGGGAGCGAGCGUUAUCCGGAUUUACUGGGUGUACAGGGUGCGUAGGCGGCCUGGUAAGUUAGAAGUGAAAUUUUGGGGCUCAACCCCAGAGCUGCUUCUAAAACUGCUGGGCUAGAGUGCAGGAGAGGAAAGCGGAACUCCACGUGUAGCGGUGAUAUGCGUAGAGAUGUGGAGGAACACCAGUAGCGAAGGCGGCUUUCUGGACUGUAACUGACGCUGAGGCACGAAAGCGUGGGGAGCAAACAGGAUUAGAUACCCGAGUAGUC